ACUAGCAGGUGAGAAGGAUCAGCCAGCCAUAGUAUGCAUGAAAAUGUCAUAAAAGACCUGCUACUUUGUAAGCUAAUUUUCAAAGUAAAACAAAAGAGAGAAAGAAGAUGGGAGUGGGGUGGAAUUCCUAACAGCCCAUUGAGAUAUAACUAGAGCUACUAAGCAGUCUAUGUAGCUGAUAAGAUACUAAGUGAGUCGUUCCCUCUUGAAACCCACAUCCAAGCUUUUGGCUAUGUAUUAUUCUAUCCCUUAGCACCUAUCCUCUCUUUUAAACUCCUUCCCAGCCCCUCCCCGUUAUGCUUAUAUUAUAGUAUAGCAUAUUACAUUACAUUAAUUAUGUAUGGUAUAUGGUGUGUGUGUGUGUGUGUGUGUGUGUGUGUGUGUAAAACAAUACCAUGUGUUCUAGGGACCAAACUCAUGUCAUCAGCCAUGUUGUUUUUAACCUGCUGAGCCAUCUUGGUGACCAAAAUCUCAGGAAACUUCAACUGCUUCAAACUGUCUGGUCCUGGAAUUCUUUGCUGCAGUGAAACCAAGAAUCCUGUUGUCACUUGGAUGGAGGUCUCAGAAAGGAGUGCCCAGUGCUUGGGCUGCUGCAGGUGGCAGAGUGGAGCUGUAUCUCUGGCACACACCUCACUGCUGGUGGCAACAGAGGGAGAGAAGACAGAAACAGCCAUAGGCACCAAUUGAAGAUGCUACUCUAAACUGAAGAGUGCCUGAAGGCUCCCGAAGCUCAGAAUUCUUCCCUAGAAUGUUCAGAGGAAACAGUCUCCUAUUAAUACCGUCAUUUCAGACUUCUGGCUACAGAUAUGUGUGGGAACGAUCUUGUUUUAAGCCAGAAAUGUUUGAGAGUGGGGAACUGCUUGUGAACUUCAGGGAUAUAUUCUUUUAGAUACAAACAUGCAAAAUUAAAAAGUUGCAACGAA